GCUGGCUUUCCCAGAAACUGAUCAGUGGACACUCCUCGGGGCUGGAUGAGUCCCAACCCGAAACUUGUUAGUCCCAGCGUAUGCUCUCUGGCGGAAAAGCCGCGGCUUUUCCUAGCUGGGGCAGGGGACACUAACGUCGCUUGUCUGCCGCUCUGCGGUACCACGUGGUCAGCGAGUUGGGUGGAGGUGGGGGGGAAGGAGUUGCCCUGCCUCCCCCAGUUCCCUGGGGCACAGUGCGGCUGUCCAGUCCUGAUCUCUCCAGUGCCCUAUUGAGUUGUGGUGACGAAGGUCUUACCAGGCUCCCGUAAACCUUGUUAAUAUCUUCGUAAUGACCUGUUUACAAAAUUCACUUGCCCCAGAACAUUUACCAGCUUUCCUAUCAAGAAGAUAAAGAACAUGUGAUGUCAUGGCCUUGGCAUUUUGAAUGUUCCCAAACGCUUUACUGGAGAGCAGAAACAGCUUUCUCUCCCACAGUCCACGUUGGGACUGAGUGUCCGCAAAUCCCACACAACACAC
rnacentral:lncRNA from 1 species